rnacentral:rRNA from 1 species
AGAGUUUGAUCCUGGCUCAGGAUGAACGCUGGCGGCGUGCCUAAUACAUGCAAGUCGAUCGAGAUAGCUUGCUAUCUAGAGGCGAACGGGUGAGUAACACGUUGGUAAUCUACCUUUCAGCUGGGGAUACCCGAACGAAAGUUUGGCUAAUACCGUAAUACGUAAUAAGGUGAAAUUCCUUAUUAUGAAAGGCGCUUCGGCGCCACUGAUAGAUGAGCCUGCGUCUGAUUAGCUAGUUGGUGAGAUAAUAGCCCACCAAGGCGAGGAUCAGUAGCCGACCUGAGAGGGUGAACGGCCACAAUGGAACUGAGACACGGUCCAUACUCCUACGGGAGGCAGCAGUAGGGAGUCUUCGACAAUGGGGGAAACCCUGAUCGAGCAACGCCGCGUGUGUGAUGAAGGUCUUCGGAUUGUAAAACACUGUUGUUAGGGAUAAACGGUAGGUGUAGGUAAUGACAUCUAUUUGAUAGUACCUAAUUAGAAAGUAACGACUAACUUCGUGCCAGCAGUCGCGGUAAUACGAAGGUUACGAGCGUUAUCCGGAAUUAUUGGGCGUAAAGAGUGAGCAGGCGGUUUAUUAAGUUUGAAGUCAAAUCGAUGGGCUCAACCCAUCCUCGCUUCAAAAACUGAUAGACUAGAGUAUGUGAGAGGUAAGUAGAACUCCAUGUGUAGCGGUGAAAUGCGUAGAUAUAUGGAAGAAUACCAGUGGCGAAGGCGGCUUACCAGCACAAUACUGACGCUCAGUCACGAAAGCGUGGGUAGCAAAUAGGAUUAGAUACCCUAGUAGUCCACGCCGUAAACGAUGAUUACUAAAUGUCCCCAUUAGGGGGCGCUGAAGCUAACGCAUUAAGUAAUCCGCCUGGGAAGUACGAUCGCAAGAUUGAAACUUAAAGGAAUUGACGGGGUCCCGCACAAGCAGUGGAGCAUGUGGUUUAAUUCGACGCUACGCGAAGAACCUUACCAGGACUUGACAUAGAGCAUAAAGCUUAAGAAAUCAAGUCAUAAUACGCUCAUACAGGUGGUGCAUGGUUGUCGUCAGCUCGUGUCGUGAGAUGUUGGGUUAAGUCCCGCAACGAGCGCAACCCUUGUCCUUAGUUGCCAUCAUUAAGUUGGGAACUCUAGGGAGACUGCCGAUGUUAAAUCGGAGGAAGGUGGGGAUGACGUCAAAUCAUCAUGCCCUUUAUGUCCUGGGCGACACACGUGCUACAAUGGUCGGUACAAAGAGAUGCAAAACCGCGAGGUCAAGCCAAUCUCAUAAAGCCGAUCUCAGUACGGAUCGGAGUCUGCAACUCGACUCCGUGAAGCUGGAAUUGCUAGUAAUCGCAGAUCAGACAUGCUGCGGUGAAUACGUUCUCGGGGCUUGUACACACCGCCCGUCAAACCAUGAGAGCUGGUAAUACUUGAAGCCGUUAUCCUAACCGCAAGGAGGGAGACGUCUAAGGUAGGACUGGUGAUUGGGGUUAAGUCGUAACAAGGUAUCCCUACGGGAACGUGGGGAUG